UACGGGGGGGGCAAGCGUUGUUCGGAAUUACUGGGCGUAAAGGGCUCGUAGGUGGCCAACUAAGUCAGACGUGAAAUCCCUCGGCUUAACCGGGGAACUGCGUCUGAUACUGGAUGGCUUGAGGGUCGGAGGGGAGACUGGAAUUCUCGGUGUAGCAGUGAAAUGCGUAGAUAUCGAGAGGAACACCAGUGGCGAAGGCGAGUCUCUGGACGACACCUGACACUGAGGCACGAAAGCCAGGGGAGCAAACAGG
rnacentral:rRNA from 1 species